AGGGUCGGUUGGUUGUUGCACCGGGGCUGGUGCUCUAUGGAAGUAUCAGGGGUGGCUGGUUGUUGCACAGGGCUUGGUGCUCUAUGGAAGUAGUAUCAGGGGCGGAUGGUUGUUGCACAGGGGUUAGUGCUCUAUGGAAGUAUCAGGGGCGGAUGGUUGUUGCACAGGGGUUGGUGCUCUAUGGAAGUAGUAUCUGGGGCGGAUGGUUGUUGCACAGGGGUUAAUGCCUUUUUGAAGUAGUAUUAGGGGCGGAUGGUUGUUGUACAGGGGUUGGUGCUCUAUGGAAGUAGUAUCAGGGGCGGAUGGUUGUUGCACAGGGGUUGGUGCUCUAUGGAAGUAUCAGGGGCGGUUGGUUGUUGCACAGGGGUUGGUGCUCUAUGGAAGUAUCAGGGGUGGAUGGUUGUUGCACAGGGGUUGGUGCUCUAUGGAAGUAGUAUCAGGGGCGGAUGGUUGUUGCACAGGGGUUGGUGCUCUAUGGAAGUAUCAGGGGCGGAUGGUUGUUGCACAGGGCUUGGUGCUCUAUGGAAGUAUCAGGGGUGGCUGGUUGUUGCACAGGGGUUAGUUCUCUAUGGAAGUAGUAUCAGGGGCGGAUGGUUGUUGUACAGGGGUUGGUGCUCUAUGGAAGUAGUAUCAGGGGCGGAUGGUUGUUGCACAGGGGUUGGUGCUCUAUG
rnacentral:sRNA from 1 species